rnacentral:rRNA from 1 species
GAGGAGAGGAGCCUGAGAACGGCUACUACAUCUACGGAAGGCAGCAGGCGCGUAAAUUACCCAAUCCUGAUCAGGGAGGUGGUGACAAGAUAUAACAACGCAAUUUAUUGUGAUUGUAGUGAGGGUUUUCCAAACCGAACCACUAGUACGAUUAGAGGGCAAGUCUGGUGCCAGCAGCCGCGGUAAUUCCAGCUCUAUAGCGUAUAUUAAAGUUGCUGCAGUUAAAAGCUCGUAGUUGGAUUUCAAGGAUUGUGUACUCUCUCAGGGUAUGCUCCCUACUAGUCUUCGACUUGUUACUGUGAGAAAAUUAGAGUGUUAAAGCAGCUAUUGCAAGAAUACAUUAGCAUGGAAUAACGAAUGUAUCUAGAAUCUUGGUUAAUUCUAGGUACGAUUAAUAGAGAAAGAAGGGGGCAUAGAUUCAAUUGCAGAGGUGAAUUCUUGGACUCGCCACACACUACCGUAUGCUAAAGCAUCUGCCAGGAUGUUUUCAUUAAUCACAACGAAAGAUAGCGGAUCAAAGACAUCAGAUACUGUCGUAGUCCUAUCUACAACCAUGCCGACUAGGGAUGGAUGGAACAUCACCACUCCAGUACCUAUGAGAAUCAAGUCUUUCGGGUCUGGGGGGAGUACGUCCCAGACUGAAACUCAAGAUGACGGAGGACACAGGAGUGGAGCUGCGGCUAUCGACUCACCGGGAACUACAGUCGAACUAUAGAUCGACAGAUGAAGCUUUCUGAUCCUGGUGGGGCAUG